rnacentral:rRNA from 1 species
UACGUAGGGUGCAAGCGUUAAUCGGAAUUACUGGGCGUAAAGCGUACGCAGGCGGCUUUGCAAGACAGGUGUGAAAUCCCCGGGCCUAACCUGGGAACUGCAUUUGUGACUGCAUGGCUAGAGUUUGUCAGAGGGGGGUGGAAUUCCACGGUGUAGCAGUGAAAUGCGUAGAUAUGUGGAGGAACACCGAUGGCGAAGGCAGCCCCCCUGGGAUGUGACUGACGCUCAUGUACGAAAGCGUGGGGAGCAAACAGG